rnacentral:lncRNA from 1 species
GGAGUGUCCGUUUGUUUGUUUUUAAGGUGGUUUUCUUGCCUGGGAGAACAGUCCUAAACGUAAGUCAACAGGGUUUCCUCGCACUCAGCUCCUGCCUCCUCGGGCCGCUGGGGCCCUUCCUGCCCAAACACACGGCAGGCGCCCCCGAUGGCGGUCUGUGCCCAGCCGGGUACGCAUCUCAACCUGAUAACUGUGAACACCGCAGGCGUGAUCAGAGCUGAACAGGACACUUUAUCUUUAAAACAGAGGAAACAAAAACAGCAACAAAGAAAAGAACCGAAUCAGGGUCCUCUCUGGGCCCUCGUGCCAUUGUCCUGGUCCUGCUCUCUCUCCUGGUCUCCUUUCCACAGUUGUCAUUCUGUCCCAGCUUCUUCCACUGAGAUCCCGGAGCUUUAAGGACAAGCUGACCGUCGUGGGGCUCUGUAAGGCCUGUUUCCCUUCCCAAGGAUGAAAGGGCGCUGUGGAGACGAGGUGCAGCCGGCGAGUGGAACGCUGUGUGGGGAGGUGGCCCUGGGUGGCCUAUUGGUCUGCCCGGCGGGGACAGUGGCUGAUGUCUCUUACCCUCAUGGACCGGGCUUGCGUGGAUGCUUGCCCCUGCUUUACCACAGUACGCAACGGGAGGGCUCCGCCUUGCAAGCCGGGAAUUCGAGGGCAAAAGGAAUGAGGUGACUUGGCCCCGCUACUCCCCAGCCCCAGCAGAGUGGAAGAGGAACCAGGUCUUUCUGGCCUGAACACCCACUGUGCCCCACAUCCAGUGAUAACAGAGGAAGUGCCGGGAGAGCAGGGAGGAGACAGCAGAUUUACUCAAGAUUCACGAUGGCAGUGCUGGGAGAGUCUGUAGGCUCCAGCCCUGGCCAUCCUCCUGGACCUCCAGGGAAGGGUGACUGUGACUCUGUCUACCUGGGAAUCUGGAGAAAGGUGAAAACUGAAGGUAGAGCUUCAGAUGCGGCACACCAUGGAAUACUACUCUGUCUUCAAAAGGGAGGAGGUUCCCUUCCUACAAUAACGCAGAUGAGCCCCGAGGGCAUUUGGAUCCAGGAAAACAUCAGUCACAAAAGGACAAAUACUUCAUGAUUUCACUUAUAUGAGAAAUCUAAAAUAGCCAAAUACCUAUUCGUAGUUGGCAGGGGCAGGGGCAGGGGAGCGGAGGGUGUGAACCCGUGGGUGUAAAGUCCCCUUUGGGCAAGGCCAUCAAGUUCUGGAAGCCAGUGUUGUGCCUAUAGCUCACGGCACCAAACUGUCCCUGGAAGCACCUGUCAACAGGUCAGACUCACAUCACCAAGCGGCCCACAGACAUUCCAGGUGAUGGAGUCCUUCAACGUGGCCGCCAACUCCUUCCAGCCAUGGGUGGGGGUCGGAGGCUGGCCUGAGGGAGAAGAGCAGGCAGUGGAGCUG